rnacentral:ncRNA from 1 species
AUGAGUAACGAUAAAGGCCAAUCUAUAGGUUGACCUCGCCUUAAGCUUAUGGUAUAGAUAAAAGUAACGGCCUCUAAGUUUAUUAACCUAAAGGACUAAACGAUGAGAAAACCUUGUUUAUAAAGUAAUAACCUUUAAAUUUUUAAACAUUCUGGGGUCGCACGCCCUCACUCUCUUUAGGAGUGAGUGAUCGCGCCCCAAUAGCUGAUGUAAAUAAUAAGUGAUGAAGAGUUCAGGAAAAACGAUAAACACUUAACCGUACCUAAAUACCAGCUCAGGUAAGCAAGUAGAGAAUACGAAGGCGUUUGAGAUAACAAUCAUAAAGGAACUCGGCAAAAUAGCUCCGUAACUUAGGGAUAAGGAGUACAGUUCAUUACGGGGGGCGCUUAUUUAGGCGCCCCAUUAAUAUUAAGUAGUGUUCAGGUAGCAUAAAAUCGAGUUGUACGACUGUUUAAUUAAAAGUGCGACCUGUAAGUUUUAAUAUGCAAUAUGGUGAAAUACCAUUAAGGACGUAGAUCAAUGCUUAUUUAAGUUUCUUAAGCCUAGGUAAAGGU